rnacentral:rRNA from 1 species
CUAGUAGCGGCGAGCGAAGCGGGAAGAGCUCAAAUUUAUAAUCUGGCACCUUCGGUGUCCGAGUUGUAAUCUCUAGAAGUGUUUUCCGCGUUGGACCGCACACAAGUCUGUUGGAAUACAGCGGCAUAGUGGUGAAACCCCCGUAUAUGGUGCGGACGCCCAGCGCUUUGUGAUACACUUUCAAUGAGUCGAGUUGUUUGGGAAUGCAGCUCAAAUUGGGUGGUAAAUUCCAUCUAAAGCUAAAUAUUGGCGAGAGACCGAUAGCGAACAAGUACCGUGAGGGAAAGAUGAAAAGCACUUUGGAAAGAGAGUUAACAGUACGUGAAAUUGUUGGAAGGGAAACGCUUGAAGUCAGACUUGCUUGCCGGAGCUUGCUUCGGUUUGCAGGCCAGCAUCAGUUUUCCGGGGUGGAUAAUGACGGUUUGAAGGUAGCAGUCUCGGCUGUGUUAUAGCUUUCCGUUGGAUACAUCCUGGGGGACUGAGGAACGCAGCGUG